rnacentral:rRNA from 1 species
GAAUCUUUGAACGCACAUUGCGCCCGCCAGUAUUCUGGCGGGCAUGCCUGUCCGAGCGUCAUUU